rnacentral:rRNA from 1 species
UACGGAGGAUCCUAGUGUUAUCCGGAUUUAUUGGGUUUAAAGGGAGCGUAGGCGGGAGGUCAAGUCAGCUGUGAAAUGUAUCUGCUUAACGGGUACACUGCAGUUGAAACUGGUUUUCUUGAGUGCGUAAGAGGCAGGCGGAAUUCGUUGUGUAGCGGUGAAAUGCUUAGAUAUGACGAGGAACUCCUAUUGCGAAGGCAUCUUGCUGGGUCGUUACUGACGCUGAUGCUCGAAGGUGCGGGGAUCAAACAGGAUUAGAUACCCGUA